GGUAUUAUUUUUAAAACUGGGAGCAGCUGAUUAGCAUCUCCAAACCUCAAAUACCUGAACUGAGAGCAGCGAGAGAGAGAAGGAGGAAGUUCAUACCAUCUCUUACAUUCAUGAAACGUCAACGAUUCAAGCUGAUCUCACCAAGUAGCCCACGAAUGUGAGGUACGCCAAGGAGAGGAAGGCAGCGAGCACGUAGAGCCACACGCUGUUCAGCGCCGUCACGUACACCACCACGAAGUACAUGUUGAUGGCGCACACGCACAGGAUCACCAGUCCUCCCAUGAUCUUACACGUCCUGCAGAGAGACGAACAUGCUGAGCAGGAAGUGGAGCAGGAAGUGAUUCAACGGCGACGGUACCGGUCCGCUUACAGUCCGUUGGCAAAGUCGUUCAUCAGAGACGGCAGACUGGUGAAGUGUGUUUCAGUGCCUGAAGACGCUGUGAUACGUACCGUACUUAUCCAGGAAGAGGAAGAAGAAAGUGUCGAUAAUGGUGAUGAGCACACCGGUCCAGAGGGGGAUCCUGUCAUCAAAACACACACAGCAACUGAAGAAGCUCAAUUUUUAUGUUUUAGCACCAAACGACCUGUGAUUCUGGAUACCAAACGGCCUCAAAAAGGCAUCAACUUCUCGCCAGAGACCCCCUUUGGAAGCCCACAGACAAUGCUACAAAAUAUGUAAAGAAACAUUAAAUUAAAAAAAUUUUCCCCUCAUUUUAUUACAUUCAUUUAGCAUAAAUGCUGCCCCAUUUCUUCAGAUUUUAGUUGGGAGUUCUGUGGUGGAAAAUCCUCUCCUUUCAUGAGAAAAUAAGUAAUUUUUUUAUAUUAAUCCCGUCAAAUGUUAUUUAAUCUGCAUUGCUUGCUAUGACAGUUUGAGGAGCAAAGCAACUUGAUAAAUUUGACUGGCAGCAAAUCAAAAAAUGAGAAUAUAAAUAACUUUUUUCUAAAUUUUUCCUCUGUGGGACAAUAUACACUAUUUGUAUUCCAUUUCCAUUUUCAGUGUUAUUUUAACUUAGACUUUAUAAUAAAUGCUGAAAAAAGAGAUUCCCCAAAAUUUGAUGUCUAAAUAUGUAUAGCAAUAGAUGAGACAAUUGGAGUAGGAUUUAAUAAGCUAAAUCUUCUUCAUACUCAUUUCUGGUCUGGAUAAGGAAGUUUUGUUUUUGUUUUUAUGUUUAAUUACUAUCAUGGUACAUGUAUUUUUUUGUUUUCUU